rnacentral:rRNA from 1 species
UACGUAGGGGGCAAGCGUUGUCCGGAUUUAUUGGGCGUAAAGAGCGCGUAGGCGGUCCGGUAAGUCCGCUGUGAAAGUCGGGGGCUCAACCCUCGAAUGCCGGUGGAUACUGUCGGGCUAGAGUGCGGAAGAGGCGAGUGGAAUUCCUGGUGUAGCGGUGAAAUGCGCAGAUAUCAGGAGGAACACCUAUUGCGAAGGCAGCUCGCUGGGACGUAACUGACGCUGAGACGCGAAAGCGUGGGGAGCAAACAGG